rnacentral:rRNA from 1 species
UACGUAGGGACCAAGCGUUGUUCGGAUUUACUGGGCGUAAAGGGCGCGUAGGCGGCAAUUCAAGUCAGCUGUGAAAUCUCCGAGCUUAACUCGGAACGGUCAGCUGAUACUGUUUUGCUAGAGUGCAGAAAGGGCAACCGGAAUUCUUGGUGUAGCGGUGAAAUGCGUAGAUAUCAAGAGGAACACCAGUGGCGAAGGCGGCGAUCUGGGUCGAUACUGACGCUGAGGUGCGAAAGCGUGGGGAGCAAACAGG